CCUACGGGGGGCUGCAGUGAGGAAUAUUGGUCAAUGGACGAGAGUCUGAACCAGCCAAGUAGCGUGAAGGAUGACUGCCCUAUGGGUUGUAAACUUCUUUUAUAUGGGAAUAAAACGUUCCACGUGUGGGAUUUUGUAUGUACCAUAUGAAUAAGGAUCGGCUAACUCCGUGCCAGCAGCCGCGGUGAUACGGAGGAUCCGAGCGUUAUCCGGAUUUAUUGGGUUUAAAGGGAGCGUAGGUGGAUUGUUAAGUCAGUUGUGAAAGUUUGCGGCUCAACCGUAAAAUUGCAGUUGAAACUGGCAGUCUUGAGUACAGUAGAGGUGGGCGGAAUUCGUGGUGUAGCGGUGAAAUGCUUAGAUAUCACGAAGAACUCCGAUUGCGAAGGCAGUUCACUGGACUGCAACUGACACUGAGGCUCGAAAGUGUGGGUAUCAAACAGGAUUAGAUACCCGUGUAGUC
rnacentral:rRNA from 1 species